GAUAACUGGCUUGUGGCAGCCAAGUAUUCAUAGAUAGCGACGUUGCUUUUUGAUCAGAUCCUUCGAUGUCGGCCGGCUCUUCCUAGCAUUGAGAAAUUGAGAGCAGAAGUCCCAAAGUGUCGGAUUGUUCACCCGCCAAUGGCCCGCCAAUAGGAAACGUCCUGACCUCUUCU
rnacentral:ncRNA from 1 species